rnacentral:rRNA from 1 species
GUGUACAGUCAUCUACCCUGAAUGUACCUGAUCUCAUCUGAUCUUGGAAGUUAAGCAGAGUCUGUGUCUGGUUAGUACGUAGAUGAGAGAUCACCUGGGAAUAUCAGGUACUGUAGACU